rnacentral:rRNA from 1 species
CCCGCCGCGCGCGGCGGGCGGGGCGGGGGCACGGGGGGCCUACGGGAGGCAGCAGUGAGGAAUAUUGGUCAAUGGGCGGGAGCCUGAACCAGCCAAGUAGCGUGCAGGAUGACGGCCCUAUGGGUUGUAAACUGCUUUUAUGCGGGGAUAAAGUGAGGGACGUGUCCCUUUUUGUAGGUACCGCAUGAAUAAGGACCGGCUAAUUCCGUGCCAGCAGCCGCGGUAAUAAU